CAUCAUGUAACCCAGGUUACAAGAGCCAGCACCUGUGAAUAGAGAAAAAUAUAUAUUACCACAUAUGUAAAUAAAAUAAGACUAUUUUAUUAAUAUCAUCCCAUUAUUUUAUUCAUAUUCAUAUUAUAUAUCGAAUUCUCAACUUAUACUAAGUGAAAUAAUUAAUAACAGAAAAUGUCUAGGAAAAUAAGUAAAAUUAGAAACUGGCCGUUUAAGAGUAACCCCUCCCUCAAGGUUGAGGUCAAAAAGAAAAACAGAAAAAGGGAGAGAACGGUGAGAAGCGGAGACAUGGCGAUUUAGCAAAAACAGCUUUUGAACAGAGAUUUAAAGUGUUUUAAGUUAAGUCGAUCUGUAAGAGAAGUGUUUUGAAAUAUGAGAAUAGUGUUCGCUCGUUAGCAGUAAAGUGGUGCUUACAUUAGACAAUUGCGAUUGCACUGGAUCUGAAGAAAAUAGGAAACAGAAAAAAGUUAAUUCACUCGAGAGAAACCAAAAGAGAGAUUUUUAUUUUUCCAUCCGGGAUUGUUCUGUUUACUCACUAUUUUCUUGGUUGGGUUUUUUUUUUGUUGGUUUCUUUUCUUUUCUUUCUCUCUUCUUUGUUUAUUGAUGUUCCUGAGAGCAAUGCUGAUUCUGGAUCUGGAGUUUUGUUGACGUUUGGAAGAAUUGUUUCUGCUGUCCAUCGAGAGAGAGAGAGAGACACACGGUUGCAGAAACUGGCGAGCCAUCCCAUUUCAUAGAAUCUGGAAGUUGUUCAUCACACUGGUAGGAAAUAUUGUGUAAACCUGUUUUUUACUUUUUGGACACAUUUUUUUGCUAAGCAUCGAAACUCUUUUCACUCAAGGAUCUGAGUAUUUUUGUUUCCACGUUGGACAUUUAUUUCAAAGGACUAAGCAUUUGCUUUGGACUGAUACCUUUUCAUCUGGUUAUUUACCUGUGCAUUUUUGUUGUUUACUUUCUGUUGAGUUUUCUGAAAGAGUGUAAAACAUUGUUGGUUAUUUUAAGAGUGAAACUUUGAAUUUACAUUUUCAAGAGUGUGAAGUUGUAUCAAACCAAAGAGUUAUAUAUAUUAUAUCAUAAUCUCAUUAAACUAUAGAUAAAUAAGUAUAAAAUAAAUAUAAAUAUAUAAUUAAUAUAAUCAAAUAAUAGAUAAACAUAUUAAGAGGUAUUUAGGAGCUUUACAUAAAGUGAGAGUUAAAGUGACUACUGUAAGUAGUUAUUUCCAUUAAUUGAAAAGUGUUUGGUUCACUUGAGAUUUACCAUUGUCUAUUCAAAUUGUUAUUCUUUUGCUCUUUCAAACAAUCAAAAUCUACAUAAAUACUUACCUUUUCCAGAA